rnacentral:rRNA from 1 species
AUGACUAUGCUGAAUAAAGAUUCUUCAUCCGUCGGUCCUAUAGUUGGGGAUGGAUUUGGAAACCAGUCUGUUCAUGUAAGGAUGGCGUGCGCGGCGAUUGCAUUCGUGGUGGACCUGUGUCCUCGGGUUCCGCCAUUGCGACGGUAUGGUUUACUCCUUCAGCGUCUUAGUCGUGGUAAGGUGCCAGAUCUGAAGUUCGAUGGCGUGUCCGGGCUGUUGCCUCGGUCUGAUUCGUUUAACGGCAAUGGCUUCACUUUUGGAGCGCUGGGUACCGGGGGGCAGAGCUCGGUGGUGUUCAAGUCGGCGGAGCGGCGGCGGCUGGCGGCUGAGGGGUAUCGGAUCCGCGGCAACGUCGGCGACCAGUGGAGCGACCUGCAGGGCGACUGCGCCGGCGACCGGGUCUUCAAAAUGCCCAACCUCAUGUACUUCGUCCCCUGA